GUCUAUGACCAUACCAUCCUGAACGUGCCUGAUCUCGUCUGAUCCUGGAAGCUAAGCAGGGUUGGGACUGGUUAGUACUUGGAUGGGAGAUCAACCCAGAUAUAAGAUGGGGAGGGCU
ensembl:rRNA 5S_rRNA 5S ribosomal RNA